rnacentral:lncRNA from 1 species
GGUUAAAUUUAUUAGAAUGAUUUAGACUUAAGAUCACAUUGAUUGUAAGACUCGAAUUUUUCCUGGGCCAUAUGGAAACCAAAAUCAUGAAUAAAACAAAAAAAUUAAAUAGUCCAUUAAAUAAGUCCAAUUACACCAGGCCCAAAAAAAGUAAAUCCAAAGCCUAAAACUUUACAAUGGCCCAAUACCCGAUUACACAAGCCCAAUGGCCCAAAUCUUUUUUCAGAAACAGCAAACCCUAGGCUACCCUUUUGCGCCGCAGCUCCCACGAACAUUCAGCGCCACUCCACCACGCACGUUCACCCCAACUCGCGUGCUGCACGCCUCACGCCCGUUCCUCCUCCACGUCUUCACGACCUGCGACUUGAGCAAGGAAAUAGUAAGAAACUGUUGUAUAUUCGGGCUAUAAAAGCCACGAAUAUUCAUUGUUUUUUUUUUUUACGGAUUGAAUACAAAAUACACACAAAAAAAGAUCAAUAGAAAGCAACCAAAAUACUUCAAAGGUGGUUGUCCCUCCCUGUUUUGCUGCCAUCUUAUUAAGCCCUGUUUAUAUUUCUUUUAACUUUUUAAAAUUUUCCUGAAAUUUAUGCGCUGUUUUAAUUUAAC